AUUGAACGCUGGCGGCAUGCCUUACACAUGCAAGUCGAACGGUAGCGCGGGGUAACUUGGCGACGAGUGGCGAACGGGUGAGUAAUGCAUCGGAACGUGCCCUGGAAUGGGGGAUAACGUAGCGAAAGUUACGCUAAUACCGCAUAUUCUGUGAGCAGGAAAGCAGGGGAUCGCAAGACCUUGCGUUCUGGGAGCGGCCGAUGUCGGAUUAGCUAGUUGGUGGGGUAAAGGCCUACCAAGGCGACGAUCCGUAGCGGGUCUGAGAGGAUGAUCCGCCACACUGGGACUGAGACACGGCCCAGACUCCUACGGGAGGCAGCAGUGGGGAAUUUUGGACAAUGGGCGCAAGCCUGAUCCAGCCAUGCCGCGUGAGUGAAGAAGGCCUCGGUU
rnacentral:rRNA from 1 species